rnacentral:rRNA from 1 species
ACUUAUGGCACUUCCGUUCCCCUCCUCGGGGAACGAAGGGUUACUUCUGUAACCUCGAACGUUACUCACUGAAGCUAAGCAGGGCUGUCAGUACCUGGAUGGGAGACCACACAGGAAAACUAGGUUGCUGUUGGAA